rnacentral:rRNA from 1 species
UACAGAGGGUGCGAGCGUUUAAUCGGAAUUACUGGGCGUAAAGCGCACGUAGGUGGCGACGUAAGUCGGGUGUGAAAGCCCCGGGCUCAACCUGGGAAUUGCAUUCGAGACUGCAUUGCUGGAGUACGGAAGAGGAAGGCGGAAUUCCCGGUGUAGCGGUGAAAUGCGUAGAUAUCAGAAGGAACAUCAGUGGCGAAGGCGCUUUCUGGACCAAUACUGACGAUCAGGUGCGAAAGCGUGGGGAGCAAACAGG